CGACGUGAGGAACCUGCCUUGGAGAGGGGAAUAACACUCCGAAAGGAGUGCUAAUACCGCAUGAUGCAGUUGAGUCGCAUGGCUCUGACUGCCAAAGAUUUAUCGCUCUGAGAUGGCCUCGCGUCUGAUUAGCUAGUAGGCGGGGUAACGGCCCACCUAGUCUUCGAUGGAUAGGGGUUCUGAGAGGAAGGUCCCCCACAUUGGAACUGAGACACGGUCCAA
rnacentral:rRNA from 1 species